AGAGUUUGAUCCUGGCUCAGGACGAACGCUGGCGGCGUGCCUAAUACAUGCAAGUCGAGCGAGGCCUUCAUGCUCAAAGCUUCGGCGGAGAGCGUGAAGGACCUAGCGGCGAACGGGUGAGUAACACGUGGGCAACCUGCCUCAUCGCCCGGGAUAACCCUCGGAAACGGGGGCUAAUACCGGAUGCGGUCGCCGGGUCGCAUGACCUGGCGACGAAAGGGUUACCGCGAUGAGAUGGGCCCGCGUCCCAUUAGCUAGUUGGUAGGGUAACGGCCUACCAAGGCGACGAUGGGUAGCCGGCCUGAGAGGGUGAACGGCCACACUGGGACUGAGACACGGCCCAGACUCCUACGGGAGGCAGCAGUAGGGAAUCUUCGGCAAUGGGCGAAAGCCUGACCGAGCGACGCCGCGUGGGGGAAGAAGGCCUUCGGGUUGUAAACCCCUGUCCUUGGGGACGAUGAUGACGGUACCCAAGGAGGAAGCCCCGGCUAACUACGUGCCAGCAGCCGCGGUA
rnacentral:rRNA from 1 species